rnacentral:rRNA from 1 species
CCAAACCGACACAGGUGGUCAGGUAGAGAAUACCAAGGCGCUUGAGAGAACUCGGGUGAAGGAACUAGGCAAAAUGGUGCCGUAACUUCGGGAGAAGGCACGCUGGUGUGUAGGUGAAGUCCCUGCGGAUGGAGCUGAGACCAGUCGAAGAUACCAGCUGGCUGCAACUGUUUAUUAAAAACACAGCACUGUGCAAACACGAAAGUGGACGUAUACGGUGUGACGCCUGCCCGGUGCCGGAAGGUUAAUUGAUGGGGUUAUCCGUAAGGAGAAGCUCUUGAUCGAAGCCCCGGUAAACGGCGGCCGUAACUAUAACGGUCCUAAGGUAGCGAAAUUCCUUGUCGGGUAAGUUCCGACCUGCACGAAUGGCGUAAUGAUGGCCAGGCUGUCUCCACCCGAGACUCAGUGAAAUUGAACUCGCUGUGAAGAUGCAGUGUACCCGCGGCAAGACGGAAAGACCCCGUGAACCUUUACUAUAGCUUGACACUGAACAUUGAGCCUUGAUGUGUAGGAUAGGUGGGAGGCUUUGAAGCGUGGACGCCAGUCUGCGUGGAGCCAACCUUGAAAUACCACCCUUUAAUGUUUGAUGUUCUAACGUUGGCCCCUGACCGGGGUUGCGGACAGUGUCUGGUGGGUAGUUUGACUGGGGCGGUCUCCUCCCAAAGCGUAACGGAGGAGCACGAAGGUUAGCUAAUCCUGGUCGGACAUCAGGAGGUUAGUGCAAUGGCAUAAGCUAGCUUGACUGCGAGCGUGACGGCGCGAGCAGGUGCGAAAGCAGGUCAUAGUGAUCCGGUGGUUCUGAAUGGAAGGGCCAUCGCUCAACGGAUAAAAGGUACUCCGGGGAUAACAGGCUGAUACCGCCCAAGAGUUCAUAUCGACGGCGGUGUUUGGCACCUCGAUGUCGGCUCAUCACAUCCUGGGGCUGAAGUAGGUCCCAAGGGUAUGGCUGUUCGCCAUUUAAAGUGGUACGCGAGCUGGGUUUAGAACGUCGUGAGACAGUUCGGUCCCUAUCUGCCGUGGGCGCUGGAGAAUUGAGGGGGGCUGCUCCUAGUACGAGAGGACCGGAGUGGACGCAUCACUGGUGUUCGGGUUGUCAUGCCAAUGGCACUGCCCGGUAGCUAAAUGCGGAAGAGAUAAGUGCUGAAAGCAUCUAAGCACGAAACUUGCCCCGAGAUGAGUUCUCCCUGAGACUUUAAGUCUCCUGAAGGAACGUUAAAGACGAUGACGUUGAUAGGCCGGGUGUGUAAGCGCAGCGAUGCGUUGAGCUAACCGGUACUAAUGAACCGUGAGGCUUAACCUU